AGCGAACGCUGGCGGCAGGCCUAACACAUGCAAGUCGAACGCACCUUUCGGGGUUAGUGGCGGACGGGUGAGUAACACGUGGGAACGUGCCUUUAGGUUCGGCAUAACUCAGGGAAACUUGUGCUAAUACCGAAUGUGCCCUUCGGGGGAACGAUUUAUCGCCUUUAGAGCGGCCCGCGUCUGAUUAGCUAGUUGGUUGGGGUAAUGGCACACCAAGGCGACGAUCAGUAGCUGGUCUGAGAGGAUGAUCAGCCACAUGGGGACUGAGACACGGCCCAAACUCCUCGGGGAGGCAGCAGUGACGAAUCUUGCGCAAGGGGGUAGAGGCGGACGUAGCCAUGCCGCGUGAAUGAUGAAGGUGUUAGGUUAGUAAAAUUCUUUCACCGGGGCCGAUAAGGACGGUACCCGGAGAAGAAGCCCCGGCUAACUUCGUG
rnacentral:rRNA from 1 species